GUGCCCGUAGCUCAGUUGGUAGAGCACCUGACUUUUACUCAGGGUGUCCGGGAUUCGAAUUCCCGCGGGCGCACCA
rnacentral:tRNA from 1 species